GCAGACAUGGCCAAGUCCAAGAACCACACCAUGCACAACCAGUCAUGAAAAUGGCACAGAAAUGGCAUCAAGAAACCCCAGUCACAAAGAUACAAAUCUCUUAAGGGGGUAGACCCCAAGUCCUUGAGGAACAUGCGCUUUGCCAAGAAGCACAACAAGAAGGGCCUAAAGAAGAUGCAGGCCAACAACACCAAGGCCAUGAGUGUAUGUGCCGAAGCUAUCAAGGCCCUUGUCAAGCCCAAGGAGGUCAAGCUGCAAGCUCAUUCGACUUGCCUACAUCUCUCACCCCAAGCUUGGGAAACGUGCUCGUGCCUGCAUUGCCAAGGGUCUCAGGCUCUGCUGGGCACAGUCCAAGGCCAAGGCUCAAACCAAGGCUCAGACUGCGGCUCCAGCUCCGGCUCCGGCUCCGGCUCCAGCUCCUGUUCCUGCUGCAGCUCAAGCUCCCAAAGGUGCCCAGGCCCCCACAAAGGCUCCAGUGUGGAGGCUUGUGUCUGCCAGUGUGAGGACAGAAGGACUGGUGUGACCCCUGGGCUUCUAUCUGUAUGGGACUGGUAUCUUCCUUUGCUUUUUGUACAAAUAAACCUGCGGCAGGCUCUGUCAAAA